UGCGGGAGUGAUGAGUUGCACUGAUGGAUGGGUGCAGCUGCAGUGGCGGCUGCACCCAGUCUGAGCUGCAUGAGGACGCACAGCGUGCACAGGGGCCAUCUGACUCCAC